rnacentral:lncRNA from 1 species
AUGUGGGAUCAAGUCCCACAUCGGGCUCCCUGCAUGGAGCCUGCUUCUCCCNCUCUCUCUCUCUCUCUCUCUCUCUCUCUCUGUCUCUCAUGAAUAAAUAAAUAAAAUCUUUUAAAAAAAAAAGAAAGAAAAGAAAAGAAAAGAAAAGAAAAGAAAAGAAAAGAAAAAGAAAAUGGUUGCAAUAGAAAACUUUGCAUGAUGUGUAUUUUCCUGCGCUCAUCCCCAGAGACUGCAUUAUGAAUUAAUGCAUGCAAAUACUUCCUAUCAAUGGAGUCACAAGGAUUAGUCUGCAGCCUACGGAAAGCAAGAUCUCCCAGGAGGGAAGGAGGGAUAUCUUAGCAAUGUCAUCACAGAGAAGUACUUGCAAUGAUAGAGGAUAUCUGAUAUCACUGUGACCGCCCCUCAGGCUUCUCUUCUCUCCUCAUCAGAGCAGGUCUAUCCUAUGCUUCGAUGCCUCCCAACCAUCUGCACCCAACUGAGGUGACACCAGCAAGACUCUUCUGUUCCUGCUGUUCCAUCUCAACAAGAUCCUAUAUCCAGAAAGGGCAAAGGAAGCAAAGAGCCAACCUAAGCUGUAGAGAGCCGACGCAGGAAGACGAGAUUCCCAAGGUGCCUCUCUGUGACCUGUCAUCCCAGCCUCAGUCUGCAGAACCUUCCAGCAACAGAGACAUCUUCCUCAGCUCUGCACUCAGCGAGGGGAGCGACCGGGGAGCCACCACCCCAGCCCAGGCACCCAAGAUUUACGAAGGGCCCUGCCUUCCAUUAGGCAGCGGGAAGGGGCUGGGCGUCUCUGCUCAGCUUUAGAAGUCCAUUUGUUUCCAUUCCUUGUCAGCAGUUUGCAUAAGUGAGUGGUUUUAUUUCUUGGGAGCGAGGAGGAAAAAACGCACGAGUUACCCCAGCAGUGGGAGAUUUGUCAAAUAAAGCUUUUAA